ACAUGCUGACAACAUCUGGGAAAGCACGAGAAGAGUUUUCUGCUGGGGAACACCUUGUUUGAAGAAGUUGAUGGCCAUUGUGGCUGGUGCAGCACUUUGCCUGAUGAUGUGCUAUGCCGCAAUCUGGUAUUGCUGGAAGAGAAAAUGGCUCUCCUGUGCAUCUCCAGAAGACCAGCCUACAAACACAGGCAAUGACAACCUGAUAGUUUAUCCCAGCUCUUCACUUCCGCCCCUAUUUGCCCUGCCAUGGCUGCAUCACCAUCAUGAGUCCAUCCCAAAACCCACCCCUCCACAACGAGACCCUCUGCCCCUGAGCCCCCUGGUCCUGUUCCCCGGCCAGGAAUGAAGGUGGGCAGCCCUUGCCUGCCAGGGCAGGGCUUGGCCCACAUUUUAUGUUCAAAUAAAGAGUUGGAGAUUUCA